GGAGGGUCCAAGCGUUACUCGGAAUCACUGGGCGUAAAGGACCCGUAUGGCGGGUUGUCAAGUCAGGUGUGAAAUCCUACAGCUUAACUGUAGAACUGCACUUGAAACUGGCAACCUAGAGUAUGGGAGGGGGAGAUGGAAUUAGUGGUGUAGGGGUAAAAUCCGUAGAUAUCACUAGGAAUAUCAAAAGCGAAGGCGAUCUCCUGGAACAUUACUGACGCUAAGGCGUGAAAGCGUGGGGAGCAAACAGGAUUAGAUACCCUGGUAGUCCACGCCCUAAACGAUGAACACUAGUCGUCGGGAUGCUAGUCAUCUCGGUDAUKCACUUAACAGAUUAAGUG
rnacentral:rRNA from 1 species